rnacentral:lncRNA from 1 species
GGGGCGGAUCCAGUCAUUUUAAAAGAGGGGGUCCUAACCAAGGAAACUAGAGGCUCUUAAGAGCCUGUGUCGCUCACCUUGGUCUAUGUGCAUAUUUAACAAAAGACACACAGAUGGAUAAAUGACAAAAUUGUGUUUUGGUAAUGGUGAUUUGUUUGUAGAUCUUACUUUACUGAUUCUUGCUUCUUACAAUUAUCACCGUCUAUAAUGAAC